UGAAAACUCGGGGCAUGCGCUGGGGGAAUACGUAGGGGGGAAGGGUUAAUAGGAAGUACGGGGCGGAAAGCGGGCGCAGGCGGGUGGGUAAGCCAGAUGUGAAAUCCCCGAGCUUAACUUGGGAACUGCGUUUGGAACUACAAGACUAGAGUGUGUCAGAGGGGGGUAGAAUUCCACGUGUAGCAGUGAAAUGCGUGGAGAUGUGGAGGAAUACCGAUGGCGAAGGCAGCCCCCUGGGAUAACACUGACGCUCAUGCACGAAAGCGUGGGGAGCAAACAGGAUUAGAUACCCCUGUAGUC
rnacentral:rRNA from 1 species